GCCCCUGUCCUAAGGGAUGGCUAAGGGUUUAACAUCAAAAUGCUUUUGUCUUGUAGAAAGGUACAUUAACAUGACCUAUGGUCUCAGGAAGGGCUCAAUGUCCUUAAUGCCAGAUUGAAUCAGCUUUAAAUGAGAUCAGCAAUUGUUUCUUUGUUGUACUUGCUGGCCUUUAAGGCAAGACACUCUGAAAGUCAGGACAUAACAUCUGUCCAGAUCUUCUCUCCAUGACUCAUGAAGCAAAGAACCCUGAUUCAUCACACCAUCGACCCUGCAAUCUCUUCUGAAGAAAUUCUUCUACAGAAACCUUUUGAUAAAUUCUAAAUCUGAAA